UACGUAGGGGGCAAGCGUUAUCCGGAUUUACUGGGUGUAAAGGGAGCGUAGACGGCUGUGCAAGCCAGAUGUGAAAGCCCGGGGCUCAACCCCGGGACUGCAUUUGGAACUGUGUGGCUGGAGUGUCGGAGAGGCAGGCGGAAUUCCUAGUGUAGCGGUGAAAUGCGUAGAUAUUAGGAGGAACACCAGUGGCGAAGGCGGCCUACUGGACGAUGACUGACGUUGAGGCUCGAAAGCGUGGGGAGCAAACAGG
rnacentral:rRNA from 1 species